rnacentral:rRNA from 1 species
UACGGGGGGGCAAGCGUUGUUCGGAAUUACUGGGCGUAAAGGGCUCGUAGGCGGCCAACUAAGUCGGACGUGAAAUCCCCAGGCUCAACCUGGGAACCUGCGUCCGAUACUGGAUGGCUUGAAUCCGGGAGAGGGAUGCAGAAUUCCAGGGUGUAGCGGUGAAAUGCGUAGAUAUCUGGAGGAAUACCGGUGGCGAAGGCGGCAUCCUGGACCGGCAUUGACGCUGAGGAGCGAAAGCCAGGG